GGCUGUGUGGUCUAGUUGGUAAGUAUGGUAGUCUUUUAUUUUGAGUGUUUUCAAGCGGUCGUGGGAUCGAAUCCCAGCAGUUG